rnacentral:rRNA from 1 species
AUCGGGGUGAGACCGGCGGACGGGUGCGUAACGCGUAUGCAACUUACCUUAUACAGGGGGAUAGCCCGUGGAAACGCGGAUUAAUACUCCAUGGUUCAAUGGUAUCGCAUGGUGACAUUGGUAAAGCUGAGGUGGUAUAAGAUAGGCAUGCGUCUGAUUAGCUUGUUGGUAGGGUAACGGCUUACCAAGGCGACGAUCAGUAGGGGUUCUGAGAGGAACAACCCCCACACUGGUACUGAGACACGGACCAGACUCCUACGGGAGGCAGCAGUGAGGAAUAUUGGUCAAUGGGCGGGAGCCUGAACCAGCCAUUCCGCGUGAAGGAAGAAGGCCUUACGGGUUGUAAACUUCUUUUCUAUAAGGAGAAAAUGCCUGACGUGUUGGGUAUUGACGGUAUUAUAGGAAUAAGCAUCGGCUAACUCCGUGCCAGCAGCCGCGGUAAUACGGAGGAUGCAAGCGUUAUCCGGAUUUAUUGGGUUUAAAGGGUGCGCAGGUGGUUUAAUAANUCAGUGGUGAAAGUCUUACCCUUAACGUGAGGAUUGCCAUUGAUACUGUUGGACUUGANUAUGGAUGAGGUAGGUGGAAUGUUGUAGUGUANCCGGUGAAAUGCAUUA